rnacentral:sRNA from 1 species
AUCCAACGUCGCCUCAUCGCUUCAUCUCACCUCCACCUCACCUCUUUUCUUAUUGACUUCUUCUCUUCUCCUUCUUCUUCUUCUUCUUAUUCCCAUCUCUCUUCCAGGUUGUCUCUUUUGUCACGACAACCUUCUUGACGACCAUCUACCUCUAACUACAAUAGUCGCUUCCGUCGUCUUCCGCUCACUUGUUUUCUUUUUUCUAUCGUUCCCGCUUUCCAACUUGUGGGAACACCAUCGUUCGUUGCAUCUUCAUCACCAGCUUAUCCGUGCCGUAAUCAACUACUGCCACGUUACUCCGCUCGCUCUUCUGCUCUAUUCGGUCGAUCUUUUACGAAACUCUUCCUCGAUCGUUGACUCGACAACCUUCGUGUGUGGCACGUUGCAUCCAGCAGGCCUAGCCCAGGAACGAUCACUCUCCCCUUGAACGAAGUCAAAAUAAUCCCAUCCAUCGAUCGAUCUC